GGCGGCAUAGCCAAGUGGCAAGGCAGAGGACUGCAACUCCUUUAUCACCGGUUCGAAUCCGGUUGCCGCCUCCA
rnacentral:tRNA from 4 species